rnacentral:rRNA from 1 species
UACGUAGGUGGCAAGCGUUGUCCGGAUUUAUUGGGUUUAAAGGGUGCGUAGGCGGUUUCAUAAGUCAGUGGUGAAAUACGGCAGCUCAACUGUCGAGGUGCCAUUGAUACUGUGGAACUUGAGUACAGACGAGGUAGGCGGAAUUGACGGUGUAGCGGUGAAAUGCUUAGAUAUCGUCAAGAACACCGAUAGCGAAGGCAGCUUACUAGACUGUAACUGACGCUGAGGCACGAAAGUGUGGGGAUCAAACAGG